UACGGGGGGGGGCAAGCGUUGUUCGGAAUUACUGGGCGUAAAGCGCACGUAGGCGGACUAUUAAGUCAGGGGUGAAAUCCCGGGGCUCAACCCCGGAACUGCCUUUGAUACUGGUAGUCUCGAGUCCGGAAGAGGUGAGUGGAAUUCCGAGUGUAGAGGUGAAAUUCGUAGAUAUUCGGAGGAACACCAGUGGCGAAGGCGGCUCACUGGUCCGGUACUGACGCUGAGGUGCGAAAGCGUGGGGAGCAAACAGGG
rnacentral:rRNA from 1 species